UACGAAGGGGGCUAGCGUUGCUCGGAAUCACUGGGCGUAAAGGGCGCGUAGGCGGACUUUUAAGUCGGAGGUGAAAGCCCAGGGCUCAACCCUGGAAUUGCCUUCGAUACUGGGAGUCUUGAGUUCGGAAGAGGUUGGUGGAACUGCGAGUGUAGAGGUGAAAUUCGUAGAUAUUCGCAAGAACACCAGUGGCGAAGGCGGCCAACUGGUCCGAUACUGACGCUGAGGCGCGAAAGCGUGGGGAGCAAACGGG
rnacentral:rRNA from 1 species